AAAAAUUACUUCUUUUAAAUAAUAUGAAUAAUGUCAAAUAAUCAUUUACUAUAAAGUUCCUAGAAUAAACGUGUUUAUGUUGUUUUAAGUGUGGUAACAUUGAUUCUACUAGUAUACAGAAUUGUAUGUAUAUUUUAAGCGGUCAAGAGAGAGAAAUCUUGAUUCUCUACUUAACCUCCAAAGAUUAUUCUAAUAUUUAUUAUUCAAGAAAUUAUUUUCUUUUCUAUUGCAUGAAAUGAGGUUUGCAUUUAAAAAACUUUUUAAUUCAAAAGUGUUUCAUAAUAUAAGAAAUUUACAUCUUUCGCAAAAUGUAAAGGGACAUUCUUAUGAAGGGCCAGGAAAAACAACAGUAACAAUACUCAAUAAAAAUGAGCAAUCUUUGCUGUUGAUAGAUGAUUAUAACAAAG